CUACGCCUUGCAACCUUCCUACGUUAUAGCCUUUUAACUUCAUUAUGUGAUCAGGCAUGUUGCCAACUCUAAAGGCCAUUCCACGCAUCUGAGUGAUCUGGCAUAUCGUCCAGGUGAUUUAAGUGCCAAUCUUGAUAAAGGUCCACAUAAGGACCGAAACGUCGAUGAAAUACGGCAUCAACAGUGAACCCGAAUAAAAAAUAUACUGAAUUUACAA